GAUCGAUCAUUGUGCCACCAAAAUGACUAUUAUUCGCUACAUCAAGUCAUAAACUCGUGCGGCUGCAUUAGGGGAAAAACGAAUACCCGCCGCCGAGAAAAAGGAGCUGUGAUUUUGUGAACACAUCAAACAAACGAAUGUUUACUCACCUACAGCAGAUACAACAUAGAUGCGCGUAGCAGUUAGAGCAACAUGUUUACUCACUACUCAUCAUUUGAGCUUCAUCAUUCACUCUCCAAUUUCCCAAUUCUUCAAAACCAACCAAUUUCCCAAACUCAUUCACUCCAAUACCCACUUGCCACUCCAAACCGUUACAACCAACUCAAAUUCAAAUUCCCUCAUUUCCACAUACUCCCGCCUUCCACAAACUUACACCUCAUUAAUAAACUCAUUCUCAACAACAUUAUCAUCAUGUACAAAACUCGAAAACCUCGAGUUCGGUACAUCAGUUCAUACUUCCAUAAUUAAAAACGGAUUCGAAUCCGAUACGUUACUCACACGUCACCUCAUUCAUUUCUACGCUAAAUGCAAAUGUUUGAACUCCGCUCGAACAUUAUUCAAUUCUGUGUCGAGGUUAGACAAUCUCGACACAGCUACAUUUACUGCUUUAAUUGGUGGUUAUGUUCGUGUUGGGAUGUUUGAUGACGCACUCCAACUGUUUGAUGAAAUGCAAAGUGGUUUUGUUUUGGAUGAAUUGGUGAUUGUGACGGUUUUGAAUGCGUGUGUGAAUUUAGGGAAGUUGGAUCACGCAUGUGAAUUGUUUGAUGAGAUGGAUGGUUGUGGUAAUGUUGUUGCGUGGAAUGUUAUGAUUUCUGGUCAUGGUAAGAGAGGUUAUCAUAAGGAGGCGGUUGAGUUUUAUCGAAAAAUGAGGAUGAAUGGUGUGAUAUCGUCGAGGUCUACAUUGGCGAGUGUUUUGAGUGCGGUUGCUGGUUUGGGUGAUUUGGGGUGUGGUUUGUUGGUUCAUGGGGAGGCGGUUAAAUUAGGGUUUGAGUCGAGUGUUUAUGUGGCGAGUUCGUUGAUUAAUAUGUAUGGGAAAUGUGAAAUGCUGUGUGAUGCGAAGAAAGUGUUUGAUGUUGUGUGUGAUAGAAAUGUUGUUAUGUGGAAUACCAUUCUUGGUGUUUAUGCGCAGAAUGGUUGUUUAAGUGAUGUUAUGGAGUUGUUCUCUGAGAUGAUGGGGUGUGGUAAUGACCCGGAUGAGUUUACAUACUCUAGCAUUUUGAGUUCAUGUGCGUGCUUUGAUUUCUUAGAUAUCGGUCGCCAGUUGCAUUCAACUAUUAUCAAGAAAAGGUUUACGGAUAAUUUAUGCGUGAACAAUGCAUUGGUGGAUAUGUAUGCUAAGGCUGGGGCUUUGAAGGAAGCUAGAAAACAAUUUGAGCGCAUGAAAUAUCGAGAUAAUAUUUCGUGGAAUGCUAUUCUUGUUGGAUACGUGCAAGAAGAAGAGGAAACUGAAGCUUUCAACAUGUUUCGGAGAAUGAAUCGACAUGGCGUUGUACCGGACGAGGUAUGCAUGGCCAGUAUUCUCAGUGCUUGUGGAAAUAUUAAGGUACUAGAAGCAGGACUGCAAUUCCAUGGCCUUUCAGUUAAGUUGGGUUUAGACACAAACCUUUUCGCUGGAAGCUCUCUUAUUGACAUGUAUUCCAAGUGUGGGGGAAUCGAAGAUGCGCGUAAAAUUUAUUCUUGCAUGCCCGAGUGGAGUGUGGUCUCAAUGAAUGCUCUGAUCGCAGGAUAUGCUAUAAAAGAUACAAAAGAAGCAAUUAAUCUUCUGCAUGAGAUGCAGAUAUUGGGAUUGAAGCCAUCUGAAAUCACAUUUGCCUCCCUCAUAGAUUGUUGUAAGGAGUCUCCUAAGGUGAUUUUAGGGAUGCAGAUUCAUUGUGCUAUAUUAAAGAAUGGUCUUUUAUGUGGUAGUGAAUUCUUAGGUACCUCUUUGUUGGGCAUGUAUAUGGAUUCACAGAAGUUGGCUGAAGGGAACAUUCUUUUCUCGGAGUUAUCUAACCUUAAAAGCAUUGUGCUGUGGACAGCUUUAAUAUCUGGACAUACUCAAAAUGAUUGCAGUGAUCAGGCCUUAAACUUGUACCGAGAAAUGCGUGACAACAAUAUCUUACCAGACCAAGCAACAUUUGUUACCGUUCUGCGAGCCUGUGCCCUCUUAUCCUCGCUGCAAGACGGUCAAGAGAUACAUUCUCUGAUUUUCCAUACUGGUUUUGACUUAGAUGAAUUAACCAGCAGUGCCCUUGUAGAUAUGUAUGCUAAAUGCGGAGAUGUAAAAAGUGCUGCAAAAGUUUUCGAAGAAUUGCCUAUAAAAAAAGAUGUGAUUUCUUGGAAUUCAAUGAUUGUUGGGUUUGCGAAAAAUGGUUAUGCGGAAAGGGCACUGAAGGUCUUUGAUGAGAUGACUUUAUCAUCUGUUUCACCGGAUGAUGUCACAUUCCUUGGAGUGCUCACUGCCUGUAGUCAUGCAGGGCUGGUUUCUGAGGGUCGACAAAUUUUUGACAACAUGGUAAACUAUUACAGCAUUCACCCGAGAGUAGAUCACCACGCUUGCAUGGUUGAUCUACUUGGUCGAUGUGGUUUUCUUGAAGAAGCUGAAGAGUUCAUUGACAAACUAGAUGUGGAACCCAAUGCAAUGAUUUGGGCUAAUUUAUUGGGUGCUUGCAGUAUACAUGGAGAUGAAAAAAGGGGACUGAGAGCGGCUGAGAAACUUAUCGAGUUAGAACCGCAAAAUUCUUCUCCAUAUGUACUACUUUAUAAUAUGCAUGCUGGAUCAGGACAUUGGGAUGAAGCUAAAUCUCUAAGGAGAACAAUGGUACAGAAUGAAGUUCAAAAAACGCCCGGGUGUAGCUGGAUUGUAGUUGACAAAACGACCAACUUGUUUGUCGCCAGUGAUAUGUCACAUCCUAGUUCUGAUGAAAUUUCACAUGCUUUGAAGCACCUGGCAGCACUAAUGAGAGACAAUAGAUUGCAGGAAGAUGGAAUUUCCCCGGCCAGUUAAAUCUAGUUGUUCAAAACAAUGGAGAUUCGGUUUCAGCUUUGCUUGGACUGGUUUUUUUCAGGCUCUUGAGAAGACUGAAACACAACAAAAGGUAUCCACUCAAAGGACACAAACCAUCAACUUAGCUUUUACUUUAUAUGUUGAAUUUGAUUACCUGAGCCAUUCCUUGGGAGCUUGGUAUUCCAUUACACAUUUGCCUCUGGCUAAG